CCUCGCUGCCUUCGGGCGUUUUGCGGGGAGAACUUCCCCCAAAGUGCCUGGAUCCACCAAGCAGUCGGUCCAGCCUGGAAGAGGCUCUUUCUCCUGGCCCGCCACUCGCUGUUGCCAAGGCCUGAUUCAAUUUGAACAUCUAGGGACACAGAAGUUUUCCAGCUUGUUAUACCAGGGCCAGCAAUAUUCUUCAGUGUCAACAGGAGCUCGGCCUUUCAUUUGGAUGGGCCAAUUUACAUGACUGGAUCGACCCCUUUACUGUUUUAACCUCUAGCUCCUAUAGCUAGGAGCAGAACCCAGUAUUCCUGGAUUUGAUAAUUCUCCUGCUAUUUAACAAGUAGUUUGUAACCAAAUGGUAAACUAUGAGUUGAGGCCCUCUCUUCUCGCCAAACUCAAUAAAAUUUAAUUACUCCUGGA